UAUAUAUAUAUGCUAUUCGGCUAACUAUUUAGCUAGCUACUAGCUAACCUAACUGAAGAUUCUAGUUUUCAGCUAAAGCCACAUCUUCGGUUGCUAAGCGACACACCAGUAUGAGAGUGAGCUGUGAGUAGCCUUGGUGUUAGCCUUAGGACAAGCAGACAGAGACACCUGCUGGACAGCAACACAAACAACCAUGUAAUCUAUUUCAGAAUAAAAGUCCACUGAUGUUUAUGGUCAAACAACACUUUAUUCACAAUUACUAUCAGCGCUCAGGUCUAUGGAAAUAUUUGCUAAAAAAAAAAA